AUUUAGCUUGCUAGAUGGGAAAGUGGCGCACGGGUGCGUAACGCGUAUGCAACCUACCUUAAUCAGGGGGAUAGCCCGAAGAAAUUCGGAUUAACACCGCAUAAAAUCACAGUACAGCAUUGUACAAUGAUCAAAUAUUUAUAGGAUUAAGAUGGGCAUGCGUGUCAUUAGUUAGUUGGCGAGGUAACGGCUCACCAAGACCACGAUGACUAGGGGAUCUGAGAGGAUGACCCCCCACACUGGUACUGAGACACGGACCAGACUCCUACGGGAGGCAGCAGUAAGGAAUAUUGGUCAAUGGAGGCAACUCUGAACCAGCCAUGCCGCGUGCAGGAAGACAGCCCUCUGGGUCGUAAACUGCUUUUAUUCGGGAAUAAACCUACUUACGUGUAAGUAGCUGAAUGUACCGAAGGAAUAAGGAUCGGCUAACUCCGUGCCAGCAGCCGCGGUAAUACGGAGGAUCCAAGCGUUAUCCGGAUUUAUUGGGUUUAAAGGGUGCGUAGGCGGCUUAUUAAGUCAGGGGUGAAAGACGGUGGCUCAACCAUCGCAGUGCCCUUGAUACUGAUGAGCUUGAAUACACUAGAGGUAGGCGGAAUGUGACAAGUAGCGGUGAAAUGCAUAGAUAUGUCACAGAACACCGAUUGCGAAGGCAGCUUACUAUGGUGUCAUUGACGCUGAGGCACGAAAGCGUGGGGAUCAAACAGGAUUAGAUACCCUGGUAGUCCACGCCCUAAACGAUGAAUACUCGCUGUUAGCGAUACACAGUUAGCGGCUAAGCGAAAGCGUUAAGUAUUCCACCUGGGGAGUACGCCCGCAAGGGUGAAACUCAAAGGAAUUGACGGGGGCCCGCACAAGCGGAGGAGCAUGUGGUUUAAUUCGAUGAUACGCGAGGAACCUUACCCGGGCUUGAAAGUUAGUGAAUGAGAUAGAGAUAUUUCAGUGAGCAAUCACACGAAACUAGGUGCUGCAUGGCUGUCGUCAGCUCGUGCCGUGAGGUGUUGGGUUAAGUCCCGCAACGAGCGCAACCCCUAUGUUUAGUUGCCAGCACGUUAAGGUGGGGACUCUAAACAGACUGCCUGUGCAAACAGAGAGGAAGGAGGGGACGACGUCAAGUCAUCAUGGCCCUUACGUCCGGGGCUACACACGUGCUACAAUGGAUGGUACAGAGGGCAGCAAGCUGGCAACAGCAAGCAAAUCUCAAAAAGCCAUUCACAGUUCGGAUAGAGGUCUGCAACUCGACCUCUUGAAGUUGGAUUCGCUAGUAAUCGCGUAUCAGCAAUGACGCGGUGAAUACGUUCCCGGGCCUUGUACACACCGCCCGUCAAGCCAUGGAAGUUGGGGGUACCUAAAGUAUGUAACCGCAAGGAG
rnacentral:rRNA from 1 species